rnacentral:lncRNA from 1 species
GUUAUCACAUAAUUAAAACUUCCCUAAUUAUCUAGGCAAAAAUAUACAGUCCAAUAUCUUUUUAGACUUCAUAAACUUAAGCCCUUUGCUACUUGAUAUUAACUAAAUUUAUGUCCUUGUUUACCCAACAACCAUUAAGUUUUUGUAAUAUUUUUCAGUUGCUCUUUCAGGUGCUAAGUAUUCAUAUAUCUCAUGUUUCUUAUGUCAAAGUACAUGCAAAGAAAUAAAAAAAAAACAAAUGUAUCAGAGAAUAAAAUAAAUUUUUGUAUCUCUUGGGAUAGAAGUCACUACAUGUAAAGGGUAUUCAAGCGCAUCCCAUAACUAACAUCAGGUUCAAUGAUGAAAUAUCAAUAAUAGCCUUCUCCCUAAAUUUAAGUCACUAACAAGGUUGGCAGCUGUGUUAGCCUUUAUCUUCUAUGACAAAAUACUUGAGACAAACAACUUAAAAGGAGUAAAGAUUUCAUUCAAGAUCACUUGGGCUUGUUACUUUGGGCCUGUGGUGGCACAGUACACCACAGUAGGAGUGCAUGGCAGAGGAGGCUACUCACUCAUGUGUUGGAAAAGAAAAGAAAGAGAGACAGGAAGGAGUUGGGUCCCAGUGGUCUCUUUAAAGAACAUUCCCUUAACCUAGCUGCCUUCUUCUAGGCCCCACCCCCCAAUGUUUCCAUCAACCUCAUAAUAAUGCCACAGACCAGGGACCCAAUCUUUGGUACACUGACCUUUAGGAAACACUUACUCAAACCAUUGCAAUUGUUUUGCUACUUCUAUUCAAUAGUUUACUGGAAAACCUAGUCAAAUUAGAGAAGAAAAAGAAAUAAAAAUAAUAUAAAUAGGAAAGAAAAUAUCUUAAUUCAGAGAUGACAUGUUCUCCCAUAUGCAGAAUUCUAAAACACACACAUACAUUAUUAAAACUAAUGAAAAAUUCAACAAAAGUAAAGGACAAAGAAUCAAUAUACAAAAAUAAAAUAUACUAGCAAUGAACAAUC